GGGACGAUGGCGCAGCUGGGAGCGCGUUUGACUGAAGUUUAACUUCAUCACAAAGCACUUUGUGCGAUCAAGAGGUCAUCGGUUCGAACCCGGUUCGUCCCA